AGAGUUUGAUCAUGGCUCAGAUUGAACGCUGGCGGCAGGCCUAACACAUGCAAGUCGAACGGUAACAGGAAACAGCUUGCUGUUUCGCUGACGAGUGGCGGACGGGUGAGUAAUGUCUGGGAAACUGCCUGAUGGAGGGGGAUAACUACUGGAAACGGUAGCUAAUACCGCAUAACGUCGCAAGACCAAAGAGGGGGACCUUCGGGCCUCUUGCCAUCAGAUGUGCCCAGAUGGGAUUAGCUAGUAGGUGGGGUAACGGCUCACCUAGGCGACGAUCCCUAGCUGGUCUGAGAGGAUGACCAGCCACACUGGAACUGAGACACGGUCCAGAUUCCUACGGGAGGCAGCAGUGGGGAAUAUUGCACAAUGGGCGCAAGCCUGAUGCAGCCAUGCCGCGUGUAUGAAGAAGGCCUUCGGGUUGUAAAGUACUUUCAGCGGGGAGGAAGGGAGUAAAGUUAAUACCUUUGCUCAUUGACGUUACCCGCAGAAGAAGCACCGGCUAACUCCGUGCCAGCAGCCGCGGUAAUACGGAGGGUGCAAGCGUUAAUCGGAAUUACUGGGCGUAAAGCGCACGCAGGCGGUUUGUUAAGUCAGAUGUGAAAUCCCCGGGCUCAACCUGGGAACUGCAUCUGAUACUGGCAAGCUUGAGUCUCGUAGAGGGGGGUAGAAUUCCAGGUGUAGCGGUGAAAUGCGUAGAGAUCUGGAGGAAUACCGGUGGCGAAGGCGGCCCCCUGGACGAAGACUGACGCUCAGGUGCGAAAGCGUGGGGAGCAAACAGGAUUAGAUACCCUGGUAGUCCACGCCGUAAACGAUGUCGACUUGGAGGUUGUGCCCUUGAGGCGUGGCUUCCGGAGCUAACGCGUUAAGUCGACCGCCUGGGGAGUACGGCCGCAAGGUUAAAACUCAAAUGAAUUGACGGGGGCCCGCACAAGCGGUGGAGCAUGUGGUUUAAUUCAAUGCAACGCGAAGAACCUUACCUGGUCUUGACAUCCACGGAAGUUUUCAGAGAUGAGAAUGUGCCUUCGGGAACCGUGAGACAGGUGCUGCAUGGCUGUCGUCAGCUCGUGUUGUGAAAUGUUGGGUUAAGUCCCGCAACGAGCGCAACCCUUAUCCUUUGUUGCCAGCGGUCCGGCCGGGAACUCAAAGGAGACUGCCAGUGAUAAACUGGAGGAAGGCGGGGAUGACGUCAAGUCAUCAUGGCCCUUACGACCAGGGCUACACACGUGCUACAAUGGCGCAUACAAAGAGAAGCGACCUCGCGAGAGCAAGCGGACCUCAUAAAGUGCGUCGUAGUCCGGAUUGGAGUCUGCAACUCGACUCCAUGAAGUCGGAAUCGCUAGUAAUCGUGGAUCAGAAUGCCACGGUGAAUACGUUCCCGGGCCUUGUACACACCGCCCGUCACACCAUGGGAGUGGGUUGCAAAAGAAGUAGGUAGCUUAACCUUCGGGAGGGCGCUUACCACUUUGUGAUUCAUGACUGGGGUGAAGUCGUAACAAGGUAACCGUAGGGGAACCUGCGGUUG
rnacentral:rRNA from 1 species